CUUAGGCUUCUAAAUGCCUACUUAACCCAAUUUAAUAUAUUAAUAACACAAAAGAACAUUUGGUUAUCUAUUGUUAAUUGAAACUGAAUCUGGGCAGGUGCCGAGUCCCUGCCCUGAGUUCCAUGGCAGACGAGAUCAGCCAGGUGGGGCCAACUGCGGCUCACUGACUCCAGCCUGCAGGGGGAGGGUGGCAAAGACGGGGCGCUUGGAAUCUUUCUUGCUCUCCUUGCAUUCUGUGAAGCCCUCACAUGAAAAUCUUCUCUCCCAGGAGAUUCUUCACCCAGGCUGAUGACAAGGAAGCCCAGGUGACCUGUGAGUGCUGUCAUCCAGCAAUCUGUAGUCUUUUUUUCUUUUUGGAGUUCGUGUGUGCUAGACCAACAACCCCCCUAUUACCAGAGGACCGGUGGCCAUUCACAGAAGGACGAGACCACAGGUGGAAGGAAGAUGCUCAACGUCUCCCCAGGUGGGGGUCUUCUGGCUGUCCUGUGCACAGUACUGAAGGAAGCAUCACAUUUAAAGAGGAGAGAGGUGUUUUCCUUUUCCACAAAUUAUAAGAACCCAAAUUUGUUUUUGACUUUUCCUGCUAUAACAAAAAAAUAUCCAGUGUUAUACUAGGUUACUAGGUAGGGGAUAUUUUUGAACACAUGCACACCUGUAAUCUCUCCAUUCCGAGUAAGAUGAACCAUUUUAACCAUGAAGGGAGAAACCAUAUUUUUAGAACUAAGAACACAGGCUGUGGAUAAAUUAUUUGAAAAACAUGUAUUUAGAAAUAUCUUUGUGAUUUUAUUGCCAAAAUCAAUAUAAAAACUCUUGUAUUGAUAUAUUUAUAUACCUUCCAAAUAUAAUUUUUAAUUUCAGAUAUAUAUAUAUAUAUAUAUAUAUAUAUAUAUAUAUAUGUAUAAACCUUUCUGAAUAAAGAUUCCAUGAGUCUCAAACCCAUAGCUUAAGUAGAUUAGACAAAGGGGGACCAAAGGAAGGGAGCGGGGAUGGGACUAGGAAAGCGAGCAGAAUGAAUCUAACAUAAUUUUCCUAUAUUCACAUGUGAAAUUACCUAAAUGAAGCCCACCAUCAUACCCACCCACAAGAAUGGGGUCCUAAUUAGAAUAAGAUAUAUCCUAUGCUUGUGUAAUUUACCCAAAUGGAUUCUACUGUCAUGUACAAUUAAGAAGCACCAUGCUCCCCCUCCCUACCCCAGUAUGAAUCAGCCUCCUUAUAUCAAAGAAAAUAUUCAGCAUUUGGUUUUGAAGGGAGAAGGCAGGGGGUUUUAAAUGAUGGUGGAAUGUGAUGAUCAUUAUUAUCCAAAGUACAGGUGUGAAGACACAAAUUGGUGUGAAUAUACUUUUUAUACAACCAGAGAUAUGAAAAAUUGUGCUUUUUGUGUGUAAUAAGAGUUGUAAUGCAUUCAGCUAUCAUAUAUAAAUAAAAAUUUUAAAAAGAGGAGCCAAUAAAAUUAAAUUAAAAGAAAA
rnacentral:lncRNA from 1 species